GAUGAACGCUAGCGGCAGGCUUAACACAUGCAAGUCGAGGGGUAGGAGAAGCUUGCUUUUCUGAGACCGGCGCACGGGUGCGUAACGCGUAUGCAAUCUACCUUUCACAGAGGGAUAGCCCAGAGAAAUUUGGAUUAAUACCUCAUAGUAUAAUUGAAUGGCAUCAUUUAAUUAUUAAAGAUUUAUCGGUGAAAGAUGAGCAUGCGUCCCAUUAGCUAGUUGGUAUGGUAACGGCAUACCAAGGCAACGAUGGGUAGGGGUCCUGAGAGGGAGAUCCCCCACACUGGUACUGAGACACGGACCAGACUCCUACGGGAGGCAGCAGUGAGGAAUAUUGGACAAUGGGCGCAAGCCUGAUCCAGCCAUGCCGCGUGCAGGAUGACGGUCCUAUGGAUUGUAAACUGCUUUUAUACAGGAAGAAACACUCCCUCGUGAGGGAGCUUGACGGUACUGUAAGAAUAAGGAUCGGCUAACUCCGUGCCAGCAACCGCGGUAAUACGGAGGAUCCAAGCGUUAUCCGGAAUCAUUGGGUUUAAAGGGUCCGUAGGCGGUCAGGUAAGUCAGUGGUGAAAGCCCAUCGCUCAACGGUGGAACGGCCAUUGAUACUGUCUGACUUGAAUUAUUAGGAAGUAACUAGAAUAUGUAGUGUAGCGGUGAAAUGCUUAGAGAUUACAUGGAAUACCAAUUGCGAAGGCAGGUUACUACUAAUUGAUUGACGCUGAUGGACGAAAGCGUGGGUAGCGAACAGGAUUAGAUACCCUGGUAGUCCACGCCGUAAACGAUGGAUACUAGCUGUUGGGAGCAAUCUCAGUGGCUAAGCGAAAGUGAUAAGUAUCCCACCUGGGGAGUACGAACGCAAGUUUGAAACUCAAAGGAAUUGACGGGGGCCCGCACAAGCGGUGGAGCAUGUGGUUUAAUUCGAUGAUACGCGAGGAACCUUACCAAGGCUUAAAUGUAGAUUGACCGUUUGGAAACAGAACUUC
rnacentral:rRNA from 1 species